UGCGAAGUUAAGGAACGUUAGGCUGAGCUAGUACUACGGUUGGAGACAACGUGGGAACAGUCAAUGUCGUAGGCC
rnacentral:rRNA from 1 species